rnacentral:rRNA from 1 species
UAACGCGAAGAACCUUACCAGGUCUUGACAUACUAUGCAAAUCUAAGAGAUUAGACGUUCCCUUCGGAGACAUGGAUACAGGUGGUGCAUGGUUGUCGUCAGCUCGUGUCGUGAGAUGUUGGGUUAAGUCCCGCAACGAGCGCAACCCUUAUUAUCAGUUGCCAGCAUUAAGUUGGGCACUCUGGUGAGACUGCCGGUGACAAACCGGAGGAAGGUGGGGAUGACGUCAAAUCAUCAUGCCCCUUAUGACCUGGGCUACACACGUGCUACAAUGGAUGGUACAACGAGUUGCGAACUCGCGAGAGUAAGCUAAUCUCUUAAAGCCAUUCUCAGUUCGGAUUGUAGGCUGCAACUCGCCUA